GUCCAGCAUGGAAUGAUCGUUUUGCUUUUUCUUAAAAUGCAAAAUUUUUAUUGUUGUGAUCACCAUGAUUGAUUUUAACAUUUUAUGAACUGUGUCAUUAUUUCGAUUCAGGCUUCAGCAAAAAUAGGAGUAGCAUGCUCAAGAGUUGCUUUUGUUUGUACAGCGUACAUGUAUAAGGCUCAAUUAUUGCAGAAGAUACGAAUAAGCUGUCCCAAUAUUUGUUUAGCUGUCUCAGCCCAGACUAGUAACCUGAAUGCAUUUAUACUUGCAUAGGGUUGGAUCUUUAAUACAGGUUUUUUUUCUCAUGAUUGUUAUCAUAGGCAUUAGUGUUUUUUGUUGUUAAAACUAUGAAUGAAAUGUGUUUUGUGAGUUGAUUCUUUGCCACUUAAUCAUGAUUUGAUUUAAAUAAGUAACCUUGUGAACAGUAAGAUUUUGUGACACGUUACAUGUAAUUUAUUGGUGAAUGAGUUGCUAGGCUGGCUAUAACUCUAUUGAAGAAUUUAGUAGAUAAAUCAUUAUACAUUGUCAAAGAUAAUAUUGUACUCCAUUACCAAUGUAAUACUAGUAUUGAAUCAUGAAUCAAUUUAUAAAUUUCAUCUUGUUUAGUUGAGAGUCCAUAAAGUUCCAGUAUAGAAAAAGAUAUUUCAGGUGGAUUUGUUUAGUAAUGUUUAUUUGAAAUCUAUUUCCUUAAAAAAGAGUAGAGUGUUGUAUGCAUAUGCCAAGAAAAUAAAUGCAACACAUUGUAAUGUAUUAUGUAUAUAAUUUUAUGCACUUUUUAAAGCUCAACCUUUUUUUCAUUGGUGGUUGUGUGAUCAUUGAGAAAUACAUGUAGUAAACCAGGGUAAGGGCCACAACUCUGUAUAUAUUUGUGAAUGUAAACGGGGCUUUUUUUUAAUAUUAAAGGAAGGUAUUUCCUGGAGAAAAUUUUCAUUGUAAAGUCUUAGCAACAACUUCGUUUUCAAAUAAAGAAAAUGAUAGUU
rnacentral:misc_RNA from 1 species